UGGGGAAUCUUGGACAAUGGGCGCAAGCCUGAUCCAGCCAUGCCGCGUGUGUGAAGAAGGCCUGCGGGUUGUAAAGCACUUUAGUUGGGGAGGAAAGGUAUGUACUGUAUAAGUGCAUGCUGUGACGUUACCCAAAGAAUAAGCACCGGCAAACUCUGUGCCAGCAGCCGCGGUAAUACAGAGGGUGCAAGCGUUAAUCGGACUUACUGGGCGUAAAGGGUGCGUAGGCGGAAGGAUAAGUUAGUUGUGAAAGGCCUGGGCUUAACCUAGGAAGGUCAUAUAAGACUGUCAGACUCGAGUAUGGGAGAGGGUAGAGGAAUUUCCGGUGUAGCGGUGAAAUGCGUAGAUAUAGGAAGGAACACCAGUGGCGAAGGCGACCACCUGGACUGAUACUGACACUGAGGUGCGAAAGCGUGGGGAGCAAACAGGAUUAGAUACCCAAGUAGUCCCUGAGCGGGCUGGCAAGGCGCAU
rnacentral:rRNA from 1 species